rnacentral:rRNA from 1 species
AUUGAACGCUGGCGGCAGGCCUAACACAUGCAAGUCGAGCGGUAGCACAGGAGAGCUUGCUCUCUGGGUGACGAGCGGCGGACGGGUGAGUAAUGUCUGGGAAACUGCCUGAUGGAGGGGGAUAACUACUGGAAACGGUAGCUAAUACCGCAUAACGUCUUCGGACCAAAGAGGGGGACCUUCGGGCCUCUUGCCAUCGGAUGUGCCCAGAUGGGAUUAGCUAGUAGGUGAGGUAAUGGCUCACCUAGGCGACGAUCCCUAGCUGGUCUGAGAGGAUGACCAGCCACACUGGAACUGAGACACGGUCCAGACUCCUACGGGAGGCAGCAGUGGGGAAUAUUGCACAAUGGGCGCAAGCCUGAUGCAGCCAUGCCGCGUGUGUGAAGAAGGCCUUCGGGUUGUAAAGCACUUUCAGCGGGGAGGAAGGCAGUAAGGUUAAUAACC